rnacentral:lncRNA from 10 species
GGAGUGAGUGAUCAGCUCAAUACCGAAUCCUCCGUGUGCCAAGAGGAUCCCUUUGACCCUGAAGCCAUUGCAAAUUGUUGCUUUUUCUUCUACGGCCUCACAUGGAUGAUGGGAAGAGCUGGAAGGAUGAGAAAAGAUCUUAAAAGUCAUGACCAACUCCUCCAAAGAGACGGACAAGAAUCCCACAUGGAGUGUGUUGCAGUAUGUUCAAGGAGCUUUUCUAAAACCUAUAUUUCAAAAAGACUAAGCUCAAGCCUCUGCCUUUUAGGCUACAUCAGCACACUGAAAUGAGCCCCACAGAUGGCCUUUGUACAUGAACUCCUGGCAUACUGGUUUUUUUUCAGCCCCAGAAUUCCCUUGAACUUUGGAAAAUGCUAAUUGAAAUACAAGGCAUAUGUUCUUUAGCGUGAGCCAGUGAGAGAAAUCUAAGGACUGGACAAUGCUGUCAAGUAAAUAUGAUGCACAGUAACAGUGGCGGUGUGUAACUAGUAGCGAAUUUGAAAACCAAAUCUGAGAACAUUUGGUGGCUUGAUUAAUUUGCUUUGCCCAUCCGCCAUCUGUUGUUGUCUCCAGGAGCCCAGGAUGGGGCACCCUGCUUGAUUCUGCUGACUUAGGCCACCUGGAAGCUCUCCUUCUAUAGGGAGUGGGGGUGGACUCUGCGGAACAAAAGUCCCCGGCCCUGCUCCUCUGAUCCCACUGUGCAGCUGGGAAAUCAGGUUUGUAGAAGCAGCUCCUCCCAUAUGCUUCAGAAUGACUUUUACAUCCUCUAUCUCUGUUUAAAACCAGUGUACAUUCACAGGUUCACCUGUUUUAUAUCUUCCCAUGCUGAUAACUGCAGAGCAAAGUGAGGUCACUUGGUGACAAUCAGCCAAUUGCUUCUUUUGAGCUGAACUGUAGAAUGUCACAUUUGAAUUGUGCUACCCGCCCCACCCUUUUUGGCUGAGUUAACUCAUUCUUUUCAGAGCAAAGCUUUUCACCAAAUGCCUUAUACAAACUUGGUGUGUAGUGCCAUUGAUAAGUAAGCUCAGCUUUGCUUUCUGAACUAGGUCAUGAAAAUGAUGCUCAUCUUUGCCCUUGUCCUGCUCCCCCAACCCAGACACUUAAGUGCCCCAUUCAUUUUUCAAUAGAAACAUAGUGAGUGUUCACAUGUGAGCUAGAUACUGGGAAGUCAGAAGUGAGAGCUUAGUCCUUGGUCCUCAUGGGGCUCACAGGCUAGUGGGGAAACUUAAAUAAAUAAAACUACGCUGCAGAUAUUUUGACAGAGAUUUACACAGGCUACUUGUAGCAAAGGUUUAUUGUAGCCCACCAAACGGAUUCCACUCCUCUUCCAUAUUAAUUGAGUUGCCCAGCUCCACAUCACACCUCCUUCCCUUCCCACAAAUUCCCUCCCUGCAACUUGGUGUGGUCAUAUGACCAAGACCUCCCCAUCAGGAAUAUGAGUUAGAAGUGACGUGUGCCACUUCCAGGCCUGGGCCUUCAACCGUGGCACACGUGCUCUACCACUUUCUUACCCUUUCUGGUGAGCUGGAACAUGAUAAGGCCUGUAAGCUAGCAUCAACCAUGUGAAAGAGGAUGGUGCUCCAGGUGAUGGGGAGAAAUGAGAUGGAAGGAGCCCUCGUGACUGCACGGAGCAAAUGGGCCCCUCUGCCGGUUCUGGAUUGCUUCGAGAAUGAGAAUAAAGGGCCUUGUUUCUUAAGCCACUGUGUUGUUGGGCCUCUUUGUUACUGCAGCUUAGCUUUCACUCUAAUCAGUACAACUCUGUGUUCCACACUGAAGCACUGUCUGAAAUGGGAGUAAACGAUCUUCAUCUGAGAUUACACACAAAGAAUCUCCAUAUUUCCUUGAUUCAGAUUCACCAGAUGUUAAUGCUUUCCCAU